GUGCCAGCAGCCGCGGUAAUACGUAGGUCCCGAGCGUUGUCCGGAUUUAUUGGGCGUAAAGCGAGCGCAGGCGGUUAGAUAAGUCUGAAAUUAAAGGCUGUGGCUUAACCAUAGUAUGCUUUGGAAACUGUUUAACUUGAGUGCAGAAGGGGAGAGUGGAAUUUCCAUGUGUAGCGGUGAAAUGCGUAGAUAUAUGGAGGAACACCGGUGGCGAAAGCGGCUCUCUGGUCUGUAACUGACGCUGAGGCUCGAAAGCGUGGGGAGCAAACAGGAUUAGAUACCCUGGUAGUCC
rnacentral:rRNA from 1 species